CCCUCCCCCUAUGGCAGCCAUCAUCCAUUGCUUCCUCCCCCAAGAUCUCCCCCUACGCAGCAAGGAUCGAGAAAAGGAGGGGCACGUUGAAUUGAAGAGGAAGAGAGGAUCAAGGAGAUGUUCUUCCCCAUCUCUUCUUGAAGAUUUCUUGGGGAAACCCUAGGUAUGGAUGAGAUCCUUGUUCCUCCCUGUAAUUAUAGGCUUUUGGAGGUUGUGGAUCAUGGGAAUUAAAGGAUUAGAGGUUGGAUUUGAUGUGGGGUUAGGUUUUGAUCCCGAAUUUAGUUUUCUGCAGAAUGGCAGAUUCAACAGUUUCUGUUCAUGCCAGUUUUCCGUGGUCUUAGUGGCCUCAAAAAAAUGAAAAGUCUAUGUAUGAGUCGUAGAUGAUUUGUAGAUCUUUCCGUGGCCGUGAAGAACACCUCAAUCGGACAUCCGACCAGAAAGUUAUUGCAGUUUUACUAUAGCAGUUUUUCAGUCUCAUAAUUCUGUGCAGAAUCUGUUCUCUUAAGAUUUAGGAAAUUUUAUCAACAGAAUUAAACUGUGGGUUGGUAAAAGAAGUUGUAGAUAAUUUCAUAAGCUUUCCAGAUUGUUAAAGAGUGCAUUCAUAUGAUUUGUGAAACUCCAGUUAUGUUUGUUUUACUGUGGCUGUUUCUGUUUACCUGACAAAAAUGAGUGGGUCUGUUCACUGGUGGGUUUCAUCUAGUAAAUGGCCGAAUUGGCUCUUCCAACUAUGGAGACUUUUGUAGAGGGAUAAAAGUUCUUACUUCCAGCAGAAUUUCAUAAUUUUUGGUUCAGUAGUUUGGGAGAUAUCAAAUUUUAAAGUUAACCAUACUGCUGUCUAAAACAGAUUCAGUCAGUUAUCUUGUCAGAUGUUUUAGAACUUGUAGAUGGCAGAAUUUAAUUAUCUAUUGAAUACUGAAGUUGUAGAGUAUUUUAUGUAGAUACUCCUAGAGUAUUUGUUUGAUAUCACCGCUGUUUUAAUUUUAAAGAUACAAAAUUAACAAACAGCGUUGCUGCUGUAUGGCAUGUGGUUCAGGGUGGGAGUCUUUCCACUGGGUCUUGGUUUCAAGUGUAGGAGUGUUUUGUUGAUUGAUGGCAAAUGUUUGUGAAAUAUUUGUACUAAGUUUUAUGCCCACUAGCAGGUGGCUACACUCCAGAUCAUGUCUAGUACAUUUCUUCUUCUUCGAUGAAGGCAAGUGAAUGUAGCGGUGGUUGCUUCCGUUCUGACCUGUUAUUUCUAUUGCCUACACUCUAAUAUUCAGAAGUAUCAGAUUCUUUCAUAAUUGGACUCUAUGGUGAUGCUUUACUUGCUUGCAUUAUACUGAUGCUCAAUCAUAUAUUGAUGAUGAUUAUGAUUUGAGUAUGACUCACGAGAUUAAUUCACAUAUCUGAAGGUAAAUGAAGUAUUAUUUGAGGUUGGUAUUGUAUCUGAAGAUAAAUGAAGUAUUAUUUGAGGUUUGUAUUGUAUCUGAAGGAAGUGAAGUUUAUUGAUAAAUGUAGCAUGCCAUAUACAUUGCAUGACUCAUUUGCAUAUGAAGUUUUGUCGUGACCUAUGGUCCGACCGUACCGGUACAACUUAGCAUCGUACGUUGCCCGAGAAGGGGUACGAUGCGGCUUCAUACCCUUAGAGGUAUGAAGGCAGAGGACAUAUGCAUUGCAUUCAUAUGCAUUCAUUGAAGUGAUAUUUGCAGAUGAUGUGGUUUUAUACCCCCAGAGGUAUGAAGAUAGAGUACCUACGCAUUGCAUUCAUAUGCAUUCAUUGAAGUGAUAUUUGCAGAUGAUGUGGUUUUAUACCCCCAGAGGUAUGAAGAUAGAGUACCUACACAUUGCAUUCCUAUGCAUACAUUGAAGUGAUAUUUGCAGGUAUUGUUGACGCAGGGAAGUGUUAUAGAACCUAUUGUGGUUGUUCGAGGAAAUGAGAUGGUAUUGGUUAUAGUGGGACUACUGUGUUCUAUAUCUACAAGUAUUUCUGAUUUUUUAUUGUGUCUCUUUUAAAAUGUUGAUGAAUUCAAUUUGUGGUUUAAAUAUCUCAUCAGAACAAUUAGCUUGCUGAGAUGUUUCAUCUCACUCUUGCAUUACUCAAUGCAGGUGGUUGUUGCUCAUCAAGGGGAGUGGGAAGUAGCAGCACAUCCACCUUCACUCUCAUAAUAAUGCUGCCCAGACACAGCCAUGAUUUAAUUAGAAACUUCUUGUCAAAGGAUGUUUGUUUUUAACUAGUCGUGCGCACUGAUUAAUUCAGUUCAUUGUUGUUAUGGUUGUCUUCCCAUUGCUAGUAGAUUAUUAAUGUCUUAUAUGUUUUCUUAUCAUGAUAUCUAUUUAUACUUUGUUGCUUCCCCCGUUUAUGCAAUUUUCAAAGGAGAUGCUGUCGAAAUUUUAUAUAUGAAUGUUAGAUGUGUAGUUUAGUAGCAUUCUGGGGUGUUUGUGGAUCCCGGGGUGUUACAGUUGGUAUCAGAGCAUAGGCUUCAGAUUCUUGGCAAUUUGAAGAUAAAUUUGACACACUUGCACAUAUAGGAAGGGUAUGGGUUCAAAUAUCUUUGAUAUAUAUUAAUGUCUUUGGAGUGCAGAUGACAAUAGUUUCACCCCUCCCUAUUCCUUUACGGUGAUGUGGUAAGUUGUUUAUGGCUUAAUGCUUGAUAUAAUUUAUUUCUGAAAUUUUGAUAUUGUUUUAUUAAUGCGGUAGAUAUCGCUGGUCAUUGGUGAGAAUGAAGUUGUUAUUAUGCUUGUGAUAUACAAGUAUGCCUAUGUCGUUUUCACCAUGUUUUUCAUGGUUGAGUUUUAUUACAAUAAUAUUGUUAUAUAUGCUUGAUUGUGGAUGUUUCUAAGAGGAGUGUGAAUUGCGUGUUUUGGGGUACAAGGUAAUCAUCAAUUUGAAUUUAAGUUGUUGAGCGGUUGGUGGAUAGCUCCAACUAUCAUUGCAAAGAAUGAUUGUUUAUGUUGAGAAACCAGUUUUGAAAGAAAUGAAUAUUGGUACUUUAUAUGGAUUUUUGGGGGAAGUCUUUUCAUAGCCAGAAUGGCUUACAUGUCUCUCUCAUAUUGUGUGUUCUAGUUGCCACAAAGCCUAGAUGUGGUUUAAAGUGGUUGCCUAUUAGUCAUACUAAUUGUAGAAUAAAUCUUUGAUUCUCUUGAUCCAUUGAUUAUGUAUUGAUACAUUGAGGAUCUGAUGGUUCCCUUUUCGAUGCAUGCUUGUGGAGCCAUUUUUUAGACCACCUAUCUAUUGGUUUGAAGGAAGUCCUUGCCUAGCCUAGAGUUGGUUGGGUAUGGCUAGUCACCUACUCCUAGAUGAUGUGGUGUUUACAUCAGCUUAAUAUGUUUGUCAAAUGUGUGAAGGAUUAGGGGUUAUUAUUAUUGACUUUGUAUGUCUGGUACUUUGAGUGCAUCGUAUGAUAGAAUGAAAUGUAAGUUUCUGAACUACAGUAGAUGAAGACUUAUAUUAUGUGUAGGUUAUCCUUACUAGUUGGAUAUUUUUCUUAGUUGAGAUGUUGAAUGAAGUAUAGUGACAUGGGUUAAGCAAGUAUUGUGUUGUUGUUGGG
rnacentral:lncRNA from 1 species